rnacentral:rRNA from 1 species
GAUGAACGCUGGCGGCGUGCUUAACACAUGCAAGUCGAACGGAAAGGCCCAAGCUUGCUUGGGUACUCGAGUGGCGAACGGGUGAGUAACACGUAGGUGAUCUGCCCUGCACUUCGGGAUAAGCCUGGGAAACUGGGUCUAAUACCGGAUAGGACCACUUCUUGGAUGUUGUGGUGGAAAGUUUUUUCGGUGUGGGAUGAGCUCGCGGCCUAUCAGCUUGUUGGUGGGGUAAUGGCCUACCAAGGCGUCGACGGGUAGCCGGCCUGAGAGGGUGUACGGCCACAUUGGGACUGAGAUACGGCCCAGACUCCUACGGGAGGCAGCAGUGGGGAAUAUUGCACAAUGGGCGCAAGCCUGAUGCAGCGACGCCGCGUGGGGGAUGACGGCCUUCGGGUUGUAAACUCCUUUCGCUAGGGACGAAGCGUUUUUGUGACGGUACCUGGAGAAGAAGCACCGGCUAACUACGUG